rnacentral:misc_RNA from 1 species
GAUGAAGAACGUAGCGAAAUGCGAUACGUAAUGUGAAUUGCAGAAUUCAGUGAAUCAUCGAAUCUUUGAACGCAUAUUGCGCUCUCUGGUAUUCCGGAGAGCAUGCUUGUUUGAGUAUCAGUAAACACCUCAACUUCCAUAUCUUUUUUGAAAUGGGAGUUGGACUUGAGUGAUCCCAACGCUUUUCCUCACCGAAAAGUGGCGGGUUACUUGAAAUGCAGGUGCAGCUGGACUUUUCUCUGAGCUAUAAGCAUAUCUAUUUAGUCUGCCUAAAAAACAGAUUAUUACCUUUGCUGCAGCUAACAUAAAGGAGAUUGGUUCUUGUGCUGACUGAUGCAGGAUUCACAAAGACAGGCUUCGGCCGACUUUGUAAACUCGAUCUCAAAUCAAGUAAGACUACCCGCUGAACUUAAGCAUAUCAAUAAGCGGAGGA